rnacentral:rRNA from 1 species
UGACGGGCGACCUUUCCAGGAGCGGCCCGCCCCCGCAGCUCCACUGUCCGUGACCGCGACCACCAGGAGCCAGAGUAAAGCAGAGGCGCUCGUCGUCGCCGCGAUUCGCCACUAGACGACUCGCAUUGCCAGCCGCUCAAGCCAAGCGAGCCCCUCCAUGAUCUCCCCGGGAGCCAGAUCGCAGCUCCGCCUAAUCUAAUCAGAGAGAGCAUCUCCCUCCCCAUCAUCGUCUGACGGGAUCUCGGGGCCGGAGCACCGGCCCGCCCAUGCGCGUGCCAGCCGGAGCGGAUGAGCGGCGGCAGCAUGGCCAUGGGCGCGAGGAGCAAGCACCAUCCCAAAUCUCUGGCCCUGCGCUGCUACUGCUACGCGGCGAGCCACCGCUCCCUGACCCUGCUGGUGUGGUGCCUGGCGGCGCUGCUGGUCCUUCUGAACUUCCACCUGCUCGUCACCCACGGCAAGGAUGACCAGGGCGGCAGGCCCCGCGAGAUCCACCGGGCGAUCCUCAGGGAGCUGGAGGUGGUGGAGGAGGAGAGGUUCCAGGUGACGCCCGCCCGGAGCCGGAGGAACCCGCGGGCCGUGCGGCGCAAGGGGGAGCACACCAAGCCGCUGUCCGUGGUGGAUGAGUUCCUGGACGAGUCCUCGGCCGUGCACGACAUGUUCUUCCCGGAGCCGAGGACGGCCAUCGAUCCUGUCCACGGCGGCAACGACAGCAUGUACUUCUACCACCCCGGGAGGGUGUGGCUUGACACCGACGGCAAGCCGAUCCAGGCUCACGGAGGCGGCGUGCUGUACGAUGAGAGGACCGAGACCUACUUCUGGUACGGGGAGAACAAGGAUGGCAAGACUUACAAGGCUCACAGCAAGGGUGCUGAUCGAGUUGACAUUGUUGGAGUGAGUUGCUAUUCUUCGAAGGACCUGUGGGCAUGGAAAAAUGAAGGGGUUGUGCUCCGCGGCGAGAAAAAGAACGUGACACAUGACCUCCACGUAUCCAACGUCCUGGAGAGGCCGAAGGUGAUCUACAACGACCGGACCGGCAAGUACGUGAUGUGGAUGCACAUAGAUGACGCUAACUACACCAAGGCGUCGGUCGGCGUGGCGGUCAGCGACUCCCCCACAGGCCCGUUCUCCUACCUCUACAGCAAGCGGCCGCACGGCUGCGAGAGCAGAGACAUGACCAUUUUCAAGGAUGACAACGGGAAGGCCUACCUGAUAUACUCAUCCGAGGACAACAGCGAGCUCCACAUCGGCCAGCUGACCGACGACUACCUCGACCUGACCGACGACAUGAGGAGGUUUCUCAUCGCGCAGCACCGGGAAGCGCCGGCGCUCUUCAAGUUUGACGGCACCUACUACAUGAUAACCUCAGGGUGCACGGGGUGGGCGCCCAACACGGCGCUGGCUCACGCCGCGACGUCGGUCAUGGGGCCCUGGGAGACGCUGGGGAGCCCCUGCGUGGGAGGGAACGAAAUAUUCCGGUCGACGACCUUCUUCUCCCAGAGCACAUUCGUGCUGCCACUCCCAGGCCUGAGAGGCUCCUUCAUCUUCAUGGCCGACCGGUGGAACCCUUCGGAGCUGCGGGACUCGCGCUACGUGUGGCUGCCGCUGACGGUGGGCGGGGUGCCGGAUGAGGCCGCGGACUACAGCUUCAUGUUCCCGCUCUGGUCCCGGGUGUCGAUUUACUGGCACCGGCGGUGGCGGCUCCCCGAGGGGUGGACAGAUUCUUGAAAAUUUGAAAGUUUGAGUUGCUAUACGUUUGUUACACAUGAUAGAUACGGGUUUAUUGACAUUCGACACACAGUGGAGGGGGUGUGUUGUAUAGGUCAGAUGUAGAUGCUAGCAGAGUUGUAAAUGUGCAGUUUUGAGAUUGUUCUCAAGUCACAUAAGUAUGCUUGUGUCCCCUGUGAAUAAUGUGGCUGCACCUUCAGUCUUUUUGCUUGUGGUGUGGUAUCUGAAUCGUGUUGACAGACUUGACAGGUAUAUGUAUCUGAAUGCCUGUAAUCCAUAUCGGUUCAGGUUCAGCACUGCAUCGGGGCAAUCAGUUGCACCUGGAUAUACUACAGAGUGCGGCAGAACUGUG